rnacentral:rRNA from 1 species
UUGAUCCUGGCUCAGAUUGAACGCUGGCGGCAGGCUUAACACAUGCAAGUCGAGCGGAGAGAGGUAGCUUGCUACUGAUCUUAGCGGCGGACGGGUGAGUAAUACUUAGGAAUCUGGCUAUUAGUGGGGGACAACAUUUCGAAAGGGAUGCUAAUACCGCAUACGUCCUACGGGAGAAAGCAGGGGAUCUUCGGACCUUGCGCUAAUAGAUGAGCCUAAGUCGGAUUAGCUAGUUGGUGGGGUAAAGGCCUACCAAGGCGACGAUCUGUAGCGGGUCUGAGAGGAUGAUCCGCCACACUGGGACUGAGACACGGCCCAGACUCCUACGGGAGGCAGCAGUGGGGAAUAUUGGACAAUGGGGGGAACCCUGAUCCAGCCAUGCCGCGUGUGUGAAGAAGGCCUUAUGGUUGUAAAGCACUUUAAGCGAGGAGGAGGGUACUGGUAUUAAUACUACCAGGUACUGGACGUUACUCGCAGAAUAAGCACGGGCUAACUCUGUGCCAGCAGCCGCGGUAAUACAGAGGGUGCGAGCGUUAAUCGGAUUUACUGGGCGUAAAGCGUGCGUAGGCGGCUAAUUGAGUCGGAUGUGA